rnacentral:rRNA from 1 species
AGAGUUUGAUCAUGGCUCAGAACGUACGCUGGCGGCACGCCUAACACAUGCAAGUCGAACGCAGUAGCAAUACUGAGUGGCAGACGGGUGAGUAACAUGUGGGAAUCUGCCUUGUGGUUCAGGACAACAUUGGGAAACCGAUGCUAAUACUGGAUAAGCCCUUACGGGGAAAGUUUUAAUGCCAUAAGAUGAGCCCGCAUUUGAUUAGUUAGUUGGUGAGGUAAUGGCUCACCAAGACAAUGAUCAAUAGCUGAUCUGAGAGGAUGAUCAGCCACACUGGGACUGAGACACGGCCCAGACUCCUACGGGAGGCAGCAGUGGGGAAUCUUGCACAAUGGAGGAAACUCUGAUGCAGCGAUGCCGCGUGAGUGAAGAAGGCCUUUGGGUUGUAAAGCUCUUUUGUAGGGGAAGAUAAUGACUGUACCCUAAGAAUAAGGUCCGGCUAACUUCGUGCCAGCAGCCGCGGUAAUACGAAGGGACCUAGCGUAGUUCGGAAUUACUGGGCGUAAAGCGCGCGUAGGCCGUUGAGUUAGUUAAUUGUGAAAUCCCAAAGCUUAACUUUGGAACUGCAAUUAAAACUGCUCGACUAGAGUUUGAUAGAGGAAAGCGGAAUACAUAGUGUAGAGGUGAAAUUCGUAGAUAUUAUGUAGAACACCAGUUGCGAAGGCGGCUUUCUGGAUCAACACUGACGCUGAGGCGCGAAAGUAUGGGUAGCAAAGAGGAUUAGAUACCCUCGUAGUCCAUACCAUAAACGAUGAUUGCUAGAUGUUGGAAAUUUAUUUUCAGUAUCGCAGCUAACGCAUUAAGCAAUCCGCCUGGGGAGUACGACCGCAAGGUUAAAACUCAAAUGAAUGACGGGGACCCGCACAGCCGGUGGAGCAUGUGGUUUAAUUCGAAGAUACGCGCAGAACCUUACCAACCC